GAUGAACGCUAGCGGCAGGCUUAAUACAUGCAAGUCGAGGGGCAGCGCAGUGUAGCAAUACAUGGGCGGCGACCGGCAAACGGGUGCGGAACACGUACGCAACCUUCCUUUAAGUGGGGGAUAGCCCAGGGAAACUUGGAUUAAUACCCCGUAAUAUUAUGAAGUGGCAUCACUUUAUACUUAUAGCUCCGGCGCUUAAAGAUGGGCGUGUGACUGAUUAGGUAGUUGGCGGGGUAACGGCCCACCAAGCCUGCGAUCAGUAACUGGUGUGAGAGCACGACCAGUCACACGGGAACUGAGACACGGGCCCGACUCCUACGGGAGGCAGCAGUAAGGAAUAUUGGUCAAUGGACGCAAGUCUGAACCAGCCAUGCCGCGUGGAGGAUGAAGGUCCUCUGGAUUGUAAACUUCUUUUAUUUGGGAAGAAACCCACUGUUUCUACGGUGGUUGACGGUACCAGAUGAAUAAGCACCGGCUAACUCCGUGCCAGCAGCCGCCGCGG
rnacentral:rRNA from 1 species